rnacentral:rRNA from 2 species
UUAAAUUGAAGAGUUUGAUCAUGGCUCAGAUUGAACGCUGGCGGCAGGCCUAACACAUGCAAGUCGAACGGUAACAGAAAGCAGCUUGCUGCUUUGCUGACGAGUGGCGGACGGGUGAGUAAUGUCUGGGAAACUGCCUGAUGGAGGGGGAUAACUACUGGAAACGGUAGCUAAUACCGCAUAACG